UACGUAGGGGGGCGAGCGUUUGUCCGGAUUUAUUGGGCGUAAAGAGCUCGUAGGCGGUUUGGUAAGUUGGAUGUGAAAUCUCCAGGCUCAACUUGGAGGGGUCAUUCGAUACUGCCAUGACUAGAGUUCGGUAGGGGAGUGUGGAAUUCCUGGUGGAGCGGUGAAAUGCGCAGAUAUCAGGAGGAACACCCGUAGCGAAGGCGGCACUCUGGGCCGGAACUGACGCUGAGGAGCGAAAGCGUGGGGAGCGAACAGG
rnacentral:rRNA from 1 species